rnacentral:lncRNA from 1 species
UUCUUAUCUGUCUGAAUUAAAAGAAACAAGGAUAUAGAUAAAAGAAUGGUGAAGUGCUCAGAGAAAAUCCUACUGUACCUGGCAAGGAUUAUCAUAGUAUAUAAUAUUUGGAAUGAGUGACAGAGGUGGCAUGAGUUAAUAUGUGAUACAUUUAGAAUAGUGAGUGUACAAUAAAGUGUUGGCUAUUAAUAGUUUUAGAGAUUAUAUCACAUGAUACAUUUUUAAAAGGCUGAAUCAGUUGUGUUUUAUCUAUUGCUUUAUGACAACCAGUCCAAAUCUUAGUUCCUUAAAAGCAGUUUAUUAUUUCUCACAAUUCUGUGGUUUACGUGGGCUCAUUUGGCGAUUCUUCUGUGGUAUACCUGGGGUCAGUUGGGUGGCCUCAUUCAGCUGGAGCUGGAAUGUACAAGAUGGCUUCUCAUCCUUCAGAGACUUCUUCCAUGUGAUAUCUCAUCAUUCAGUAGUCCAUCCUAAGCUACUUUAGGGCAUGGUUGCUGGCUUCUAGGAAGGGCAGUCCUCAUCAUGCAAAUGCUCAUCAAACUUCUGAUUGCACAUGCCUUAAUGUCCCAAUGGCUAUUAUUAGUCAUGUGGCAAAGUCAUUAAAAGAGGGAAUUACACAAAGGUAUGAAGACCAGGAAUCAUGAUUUACUGAGGACUGCCAGUGUAGUAGUCUCAAGCGGUAUAAAGCAUCCUGGGACCUUCACGUGGUUGGAAUCUGAACUGUGUGUUGUGCCAUGGAUAUGCUAGACAGCAUGCAUCAGAACCACUUGGAGACCACAACUUCAGAUCCUCUUUUUUGUAAGUCUGGACUAGAGCCCAUAAAUAAGCAUUUUAAAAGUCUACCCACGUUGUCUUGAUGAACACCUGAUAUCCAGUUAGAGAACAAUUUAUCAGAAACUCUGAGGGCAGGGGACACCCUGCAUUUCCUCUGGUGAUCUGCCUUUAUCAGAGGCUAGCCUUCUGAGAUUUUUUACCAAGUGGAAGAUUGCUAGUUUGUUCUCUGUGGCAAGUUCAUAGCAGCCAUGGGGAUGGUUAGGGUAGGGUCACCUUUUGGUUUUCAGUUGUUCAUAUGACUCUACAAAGGUAGUCCUCUGUGCUAGAUUUUGGGCUGAUGAGAAUUUCUCUGAGUAGUGGAAAAAUUGGGGUAUCCAGGGUAUUCUCCUUUAUCAAAGUAGUUUCUCUAAUGCUGAUUUACAUCUAUAUAGCAGUUGUUUAAUAAAAAUAACGAAAAAGUUUGAUCUGUGGCUAUGUAAACCUUAGUUGACAUCUCUCUAUAGUAAGGUUGGAAUGAAACACUAAAAGUGUAACAUUAAGGAAAGUGACUUCUAAGAUCUCUCAAAAGUCUUAGUGUAGUUUUAAGCUUUCAUAGCUUUAGAAUUAUAAAUGCUACAAACUUAAUGUCAUUUGCAAAGUUAUUUAACUUUUAUUUGUAUUCAUUUUUUACUUUGAAUGCUCGAUUUUAUAAGUAUUUUUAAAAUUUAAGAAUAUUUACCUAUUUAAGAAAUUUAUGUAAUUAAACUUUCAAAUCAUAUUUUAUUAUUCAUUGGUAACAUUUAUACUUCUGAGUUACUGAAACCUACACUAAGGCUUGUAGGACAUCCUGUAUGUAUAUUACUCAAAGGAUGAUGUUUAAUGGCAGGAAAGUAAUUUGUUUGAAAAUAAGUUGGGGACUUCAUUUUUCCAUUAUUUUUUUCUACUUUUUUUUAAUGCAUCAGUAUCCAGGAGCCACCAUUCAGGGAUGAUGUUAUUAAAGCAACUUGUCACGUAUGCAUUUGAGAUGCUGAUGUGUUGAUCUAUUCUAGAUAUGCACAGAGUCUUCAAUGCAGGGAUUUUAUGCAGAAUUUAGAUGACAAAAUACAGCUCCUCUUGCCUGUUCUUUAUACACGUGUCUGUUAGAGGACUAUGUAAUUUUGGAUAUCAUAAAUGAACUGUAUUUGAGGGAAACAUCUCAGAGUUUGCAAAGACAGUGAGUUCCCAUUCCUUCGACUUGGAGAAACCUCUGAUACUGGUUUAUUAUCUCCUCCUAACCCCUCCUUUGCAAAAAUGCCUGUGUAAUUGUAUAAUGACAGAAGGAGAUAGGAAUUUCUUCCAUCUAGGCUAUGGUUCUGCUCUUCAGGCUACUUCCUUCCUCCAACCCAGAAGCUGGACCCAUCCCUUUGGAGCUAUGGUCCAGGUAUUCAAGCCACAUCCUGUUACUUUUAUCAGAAAAUGUUUUGAAAAUGAAAAUCCAAGGUAGUAUUAUCUUAUGUUGUAGGAUUUUAAAAGAUGAUUCAAAAUACAUUAUAGAUUAUAAAUAUUGGAAUUCUGACAAUAUAAUUACAAUUGAUUUUUAUGAGGAAGAAGAAGGGCAAACAUCUAAAGAAAAGAUGUACCUUAUAAAGGUCUGGAAAGCUUGGGUUUCCAAAUGACAUGUUAAAAUACAGGAGGAAUUGAUACUUAAGAAAACUUUUGAAGGGACAUAUGCACUGUAAUUGCUUUUUGAGUGUUUUAAUAAUUGGUACCCUGAUUUUCCACAAUUCACAAUCUUUCCUGCACUACAAAGCCUAUGGUUCACAGCUCUCACUUAUUUUGGUGGCUAGUUCACUUGUAACUUAUCACCACCUUACACUGACUACAUCUCUGUGUUGUCAUAUGGUGGCUUGGGUGUGCCAAGUGGAAAGUAGUUACCAUCCCAGUUUUUCGUCCAUAGCCAUUUUCAUGGUGAUUAUUACAGAAUUGUUAUCAAAGGAAUGGUUUACAGUGUCUGUUUAGGAUAAUCUUAAAGAUUUAAAACAAUAUUGAAGCAUAGUUGAUUGACAAUGUUGUAUUAGUUUCUAGUAUAAAGGAAAGUGAUUCAUAUAUAUAUAUAUAUAUAUAUAUAUACACACACACACACUUAGGGGUUUUAUUUAUUUUUUUGUCUUUUUAGGGCUGCACUCUCAGCAUAUGGAAGUUCCCAGGCCAGGAGUUGAAUUGGAGCUGUAGCCACUGCCUAUGCUACAGCCACAGCAAUGCAGGAUCCUUAACCCACUGAGCCAUGACAGACACUCCCAAGGAUUUUAAUUUAAGCAAAUUAGAGAGAGCUCAGAUGUCUCCGGUGUGCUUGAAAUGAAUCUUGAAAUUUUUGAUGUAGGUUUAUGCCCAGAUUCUCUACUCUUUAUUUUUAUUCUUUGGAAUAUCCUGGAUUUGAGGGUAGGCAAACUUUAAGCCAGAUCUUACUUAAGCAUUAGACUAAGUCAGAAGACAAAAUUUCAAGUAUGAGUUUUGUGGUGUUUUGUCUCUGUAUGAUGAUAGUUUUCAAUCUGAUAGCUGUUAGUUAGGGUGAUUCAAAACACAUGCCUUAAAUUCUUAAGUAUAGUGUGAGGAUAAAUUAGGUAAUAUACAUAACACCAAUUUGAGAUCUUUAGGAAAAGUCAUCACUCUAAGAAAAAGAUCUUAACGCUGAUAUGUAAUAAAGUUGAAUACUUUCUUUAGGGACUAUGUUCUUUAGGGACUGAAAAUACUAGAAUGCUCUUUUUAAGGAAUAUAUACCAAAGAGGUACAGAGGUAGGUAAUGCUUAAUUUUAGCCAGGAAUUUGUCUUAUUAGCAUUUAUUGGAAUUUCUCUUGUAUUAACAGAAGUAAUAGACAUUAUAGAAAAUAUAGGAAUACAAAAAAAUGUUUUAAAACUCACAUAGUCCUACAGUUCAGAGAUUCUGUUCACCGUGAGGCAUGUUCUUCCUUCUCUGUCCAACAGAGCUAAACAUCACAAAAUGGAGGAAUUUUACCAUCAUGAAGUAGAACAAUUAAAAUAAGUAAGCCAUAGAAGGGUAUAAGCCAUAUGAUUCUGUUCAUAUGAUGUUCAAAUAUUGGCAGAAGUCAACUAUGUUUUUCAAGACUGCAUAUGUACGUAGUAAAGAAAAAAGAAGCGUGUGGAGAAGGUUAUUCCAAAGCCAUAUAGUCUCUAAGAGGAGAGAGGCGAUGAUGGAGAGGCACACACAGAAGGUCUGAGGUGCUGGCAAUGUUCUAACUUUUUCCUUUUACCUGAGUGGUGGUUACCACAGAUGUUCACUUUAAAAUUAUUUAUUAAACUGAGUGUUUUCAUUGUAUAUUUUACCACAAAAAUGUAUGCUUUGUAUGUUUUACAGUAUUUAGAAAUUGGGCAAGAUAUAGAGUAGAUGGUAUAGUUCAUUCUCAUUUCAUUAAAAGCAAAAAGGCCAUAUCUAUGUAUUUGUGCUUAUGUUGAAUAUUUCUAGAAGAAUAUAUGAGAAAUUACUAACAGUGACUGCCUCUAAGAAGGACUGAAAUCCUGGGAUGGGAAGGAGAUUUACGUUCACUAUAUACCCUUUUAUUUCCAUUUUGCAUAUUUUCCAGUGAGGAAUACUCUUAAAAAUUACAUGGGAGAGCAGAGGAGAAAUUAAGACCCAAAAUUCAAAACUUAAUAUUUGACACCUUGAUGACUUCUUUUUUAAGAUUUAAGUAGGUCUGAAGUAAUGGGAUUAAGGAAGAAUUAGGUUGAAAGUUAAAAUCAUAGGUUUUUCAGUCACAUUUCCCCCUUUCAUGGCCAUUAUGAUGCUCUGUUGUCUUUAGAGGUCUUGCUCCCAGUCGUGGUUCUCAAACUUUAGUGUAUAUCUGGAGCACUGGACCUGGAUUGUUAAAAUAUAGAUUCCUGGGCGGUACCUUCAGGAUAUCUGACUCAGUACAUCUGCAUUUCUGAUAAGUUCCCAGGUCAUGCUUGUGCAAGGACCACAUUUUGAGAACCACUAGGUAGUAAAGCUGCCACCUAUGUAAAGAUUAUGCUGGAAAACAGAACAAAAAUGGAGGCCCAUACCCAGUGCAUAUAGUAUGUACUUCCAACAGACAAGAAGCAAGUGUUAUACAAUAUGUGGCCCAUGUUGUGGCAUUACCUCUAUUUUUAAGCCUGUCUAUGAAUGGUAAUAUAGGUCUUGCCAGUUGGGGAAAUCAGGUAGAGCCAUUUAAAAUCAAUAGGGUUCCUGCUGUGGUGCAGCGGUUUCUUGGGAGCACUGGGACACAGGUUCGAUCCCCAGCCCAGAACAGUGAGUUAAGGAUUCAUUGUUGCCAUAGGUCGCAAUUGUGAUUUGGAUCUGAUCCCAGGCUAAAAAUGAAAAAAAAAAAAAAAAAAA